rnacentral:piRNA from 1 species
UACCAAGUCUUUGUGGGCCACCUCUCACC